GUGUAUUGAGAAUGAGCUCCGCAGUUUGCGCAUCAAACAAACUGUGAAUAAGAGGCGCCUUCCACAUUUUAACAUCUUGCUCGAUAAAGUCACAUAAUUUCACCUGCAUCAAAGGCUCAAAAAUAGGAUUAGUUGUGGAUAAAGACAAACCAUCCUUGAGCCAAGGGGCUCCCAAGAAAGGUAUGUUGACCCCUGAACCGAUCCGCCAUCG
rnacentral:lncRNA from 1 species